AUUGAACGCUGGCGGCAUGCCUUACACAUGCAAGUCGAACGGUAACGGGCCUUCGGGUGCCGACGAGUGGCGAACGGGUGAGUAAUGUAUCGGAACGUACCUUUCAGUGGGGGAUAACGUAGCGAAAGUUACGCUAAUACCGCAUAUUCUGUGAGCAGGAAAGCAGGGGAUCGCAAGACCUUGCGCUGAUUGAGCGGCCGAUAUCAGAUUAGCUAGUUGGUGAGGUAAAAGCUCACCAAGGCGACGAUCUGUAGCGGGUCUGAGAGGAUGAUCCGCCACACUGGAACUGAGCCACGGUCCAGACUCCUACGGGAGGCAGCAGUGGGGAAUUUUGGACAAUGGGGGCAACCCUGAUCCAGCCAUGCCGCGUGAGUGAAGAAGGCCUUCGGGUUGUAAAGCUCUUUCGGCCGGGAAGAAAUCGUAUCAGCUAAUACCUGGUGCGGAUGACGGUACCGGCAUAAGAAGCACCGGCUAACUACGUGCCAGCCGCCGCCGUAAUAC
rnacentral:rRNA from 1 species